UUAUGUGUGUGCAAUCUGAAGGCUCAGGCACGAACAAAGGAAAAGGAAAGCUGAUUGAAUAAGUGUGUAUUAUGAGUUAAUGGUUAUAGUUGUAUUGGUAUCUAUUCAAGUAUUGUAAGGAAUGUAUUUGAAGGUCACGUACCUGGGGAAAUAAACUUUGAUGUAUGUAAAUUAAGUUCGAAUGUAUUAUUAUUUAGUAUUAUUCAGCUUAAAGAAAUGGUAUCG
rnacentral:lncRNA from 1 species